AGCCUGUUCUGAUAAAAACCUUGGGGCAUUUAGCCUCGGGGGAUGCCUUGCUUGACCACACCCUCCUUCCUUGCUCCUGGCCUGCCCUGCCUCUUCCACCAAUCCAUUUGUCUACUGAGAUGGCAUGCAGCAUUCUAAACAAUGGCGGCCGACCGUCGGGAGCACCGGGACAUUUCCCGGUGGCCUGGGGGUCGUUUUGGCCUGCCGUGAAUAGUCAACUUGACCAGCGAUAAUAUAGCAAGCAGGAAUGAGUUGACGGCGAAUCCACUCAUCAGGCGCGACUCUCACUCUCUCGCUGCAGUGUCCCCGCGCCAAAAAUGACAUCGGGUCUCUCCGCGACGCACAUAGCAACCGUCUACCUGCUUCUCUACCGAUAACAUUUUAGACAAGUCGCACGGCGAAAUGGACAGGCAGAGAGGGAGAGAAAAAAGAGAAAGGACCUUUCCACAGACGCAGCUAAAUGCUGCAAAAUAAGCUACAUGUUCACCAGUGGAGAAGGAAGCAGCAGCAGCGCUAGAGCUUCAGGUGGUCCUGCAGGACUGGAGAUGGUGGUUGGGUGCAGUUACAGUUAAUGUUGUGUGGAGCCGGAGCGGGCAGAGGGCCCUCUUAGUGCUCUUCAAAAGGCCCUCGUCGCCCAUAAUUAGGGGAGCCAUUUGAAGACGUGCUGAGCAGAAGAAACAGCACCACAAGCGUCUCAAGGGGGACGGCCUCAAAGCCCAAGAAC
rnacentral:lncRNA from 1 species